rnacentral:rRNA from 1 species
GAUGAACGCUGGCGGCGUGCCUAAUACAUGCAAGUCGAGCGAACAGAUAAGGAGCUUGCUCCUUUGACGUUAGCGGCGGACGGGUGAGUAACACGUGGGUAACCUAUCUAUAAGACUGGGAUAACUCCGGGAAACCGGGGCUAAUGCCGGAUAACAUGUUGAACCGCAUGGUUCUACAGUGAAAGGCGGCUUUGCUGUCACUUAUAGAUGGACCCGCGCCGUAUUAGCUAGUUGGUAAGGUAACGGCUCACCAAGGCAACGAUACGUAGCCGACCUGAGAGGGUGAUCGGCCACACUGGAACUGAGACACGGUCCAGACUCCUACGGGAGGCAGCAGUAGGGAAUCUUCCGCAAUGGGCGAAAGCCUGACGGAGCAACGCCGCGUGAGUGAUGAAGGUCUUCGGAUCGUAAAACUCUGUUAUUAGGGAAGAACAAAUGCGUAAGUAACUGUGCGCGUCUUGACGGUACCUAAUCAGAAAGCCACGGCUAACUACGUG